CUUUGUGCAACUAGACCAGCUUUUAUUGACUGUUUUAGUAAAACAUUCAAAUCCAAAUGUACAGAAGCAAGAGGACUCACUCACUCUAUCACUCUCACACACAAAGACAAGUAAACACUCAUUCAUUCGGAAAAUUGCUUCCUGAGGUGAAAUAUUGCAAGGACACAGAGAGCUGCUAUUACAAUUCAUCUGUCACAACAAAGAUUUGGAAUCACUUCCUUCAAGCCAAGCUCUUCCUAGUCUCAGCUUCAUUCAACAAACAUAGACUUUGAAUACCAAGCUGUGAUAGUAUGCAAGAAAUGCUUUGACCAUGACCAAAAAAAAACAACCCAAAACACACACAAAAUAAAACACACAAAUUACUUUCCUCCCUUAGACCCCAAACACAUUGAGAACAAAAUCCUAUGCUAAAAACAAAACAUGCGUUAAAAAAAACAAAUGUAUGGUCUAUACAGAAUGGAAAUGAUUCUUUGUAAUAUGAAGUGACGCGAAAACAUAUUAAAUAUAUUUUUUGUAUAUAAAAGUAAUAUAUAGAGUGGAAGAUAUUAAAAUAUAUUUCUUAAGCCCACAUAAAUGAUAAUACUUCAGAACUGGCAAAUGCAUGCCAUAAUAUUUAAACACACAUAAUUAUAUAUUUAUCUAUGCAGUGUAGACAUACAAAUGCUUGAUAUACAUGUACAUAUGCAAUGACAAAAGCAAGAAUACACCAGAUCAAUGAAGAUAAAAUAUUGAGCCAUGCUCAUAAUGUGUAUAUAUAUAUCCAAAAUAAACUUUGUUCAAACACCACCACAGCCAACCAAUCAACAACAACUGUAUGACUUCAUAAGCCUGUCAAAAACAAACCAAACUUUAAAUACUGUCAACUGAAAAGAGUUAAGCUUUCUUAGAGGUAUAAAUUUCUUCUAAAUAAAAACAGCUUUGCAAGGUCUAAAUUCAAGUGAAUACAUAAGAAAAUAUCCCAAGAUGGUUACCAAUGACUACUAUUUUGGUAAAUUUACUGAAAUAUUGAAUAGCAAUCAUUACAAAGGACAAGACUACACUUGCUUACAAAGUGGGAAUGGAGAGGUGGAAUCAAUGUAAUUCAGUGUGACUAACAAGAAGAACCCUAACUUGAGGACAUCAUGCACCAGCACAAGCAGAACAUACAAAUGAGUGCUAAGUGUAAGGUAUUUAAAGUCGAGUCAAUGAAAAAAAAGGCAAACUAUUUUUUAUUACAAAAGCAACAGACUUCAAAUUAUAUUAAUUUAGUUUCCUUUUUUUUUUAGUUGUUACAAAUAUUUGUGAAAAAUUAAUAAUAGUAGCAAAAAAAAAAAAGGUACUAAUCAAAUAGUUGUUAAGUAUUAAUCUUCAUUAUCUUGGUAAUAAAAAUAUUUACCCAAACAUUUAAAAAAAGAAACCAAAACAUAAAGACUUGGUGCAGAAGUGAGUUAGUUCAGCUGCAUGACAUUCAUCUUAAGUCCUAGGCAACAUAAUGACAAGAGAUUAUAAAGCAGACAACAGUGAAACCAUCAAACUUACUGAACAAAAAUGUUUAAAAAGCACACAGAAUACUCAGCCAACUAAAGCCACAUGUAACAAGUAAGAAACUCAUCCAAUAAAGAAGACAGCCCAAAGAACGAAUAAAAAUAAAAGCUACUAGAACGUACUAAAAAAAAAAAAAGCAUUUAUCAUUAGAGAUUUCUAAAAUUCUAUCAAGUCAAAGAAAAAAAAAAAAAUGAAUGUAAAAGAAAAACCAUUUGAAAAAUAAAACCAACAUUUGACAGAACUUGAGAAACAGUGAGGUAGGUAAGUACAUCUCAAUACAAAAAUAAAAGGGAAUAAAUAUCUGGUCUGCAUAUGUCCACUGUGACAGAGAAGUCAGUAAGACAUUGUCAGGUCAAUGUGAAAUCUACCAUGGUUUAAACAAAAAAAAAAAAAAGUGGCCUUCUGGGGCUCAACAACAUUAUAACUUAUAUUAAGCUUAAAAAUAUGUAUUGGCUAUUAUAUGGUAUCAAAGCUUUUUGAGCUUAAUGGUCAUUUUGCAUAUAUUUUGUAAAGGACUGCCAGAUAUUAGUUGGCAAAACAAAGACAUUAUUUUCAUGCUUAUUUCUCUAUUCUCAAUGACACAUUCUAGGUUUAUUUCUCUAUUCUCAAUGACACAUUCUAGGUUUAUUUCUCUAUUCUCAAUGACA